rnacentral:rRNA from 1 species
CCUACGGGAGGCAGCAGUGAGGAAUAUUGGGAAUGGGCGAAAGCCUGACCCAGCAACGCCGCGUGAGGGAAGAAGGGUUUCGGCUCGUAAACCUCUGUUCUGUGGGACGAAGGAGGUGACGGUACCAUAAGAGGAAGCCCCGGCUAACUACGUGCCAGCAGCCCGCGGUAAU